rnacentral:rRNA from 1 species
UAGGGAAUCUUCCGCAAUGGACGAAAGUCUGACGGAGCAACGCCGCGUGAGUGAUGAAGGUCUUCGGAUCGUAAAACUCUGUUGUUAGGGAAGAACAAGUAUCGGAGUCACUGCCGGUACCUUGACGGUACCUAACCAGAAAGCCACGGCAAAAUACGUGCCAGC